UUUUUUUUAUUCUAUAGUACACAGGCAAAAAAUAUAUAAUUUUUUUUUUUUUCCCUUUUACAAUCAGACAUGCUAGACACUCACACAAGCAUCAGAUUGGAGAGAGGACAAAACCAACCCCCCCAAAGUUUAAACAGCUCAAAAUAGAGACUUGAGUUACAAAAUCAGUUCACGAUGAACACAAAAUACAGAUUAAAUCUUGAAAUACUGCAAUAAAAGGAUAAAAAAGUUAUUUGAUCUAUAAAACAGCUUUUAGAAAAAUAAAUGUGUCAAUAUCUUCUCUGCAUAGUGCUAAUGCCCUAUAUAGAAUAUUUAAAACGAAAUGUUUAAAUAUAUAAAAAAGUGGCAAUACUGAAUUAUUUGUACUUAUACAAUCUGUUAAAAAAAAUAAAAAAAAUCAGUGCAAUUACAUUAUUUCUAUGUAAGAAACCCAUAGUAAAAAAAAAUAAAAAAUUAGACGAUAUUUGUUGACUUUCCAAGGCACCUUUCAAAGUGAUUAUGGUGAGAAGAUUUGUUCUUCAUUCGCAUGUACUGGAUACAGUUUG